rnacentral:rRNA from 1 species
GGCGGACGGGUGAGUAACGCGUGGGAACGUGCCCUUUGGUUCGGAACAACACAGGGAAACUUGUGCUAAUACCGGAUGAGCCCUUCGGGGGAAAGAUUUAUCGCCAUUGGAGCGGCCCGCGUUGGAUUAGGUAGUUGGUGGGGUAAAGGCCCACCAAGCCGACGAUCCAUAGCUGGUCUGAGAGGAUGAUCAGCCACACUGGGACUGAGACACGGCCCAGACUCCUACGGGAGGCAGCAGUGGGGAAUCUUGCGCAAUGGGCGAAAGCCUGACGCAGCCAUGCCGCGUGUAUGAUGAAGGUCUUAGGAUUGUAAAAUACUUUCACCGGGGAAGAUAAUGACGGUACCCGGAGAAGAAGCCCCGGCUAACUUCGUGCCAGCAGCCGCGGUAAUACGAAGGGGGCUAGCGUUGCUCGGAAUUACUGGGCGUAAAGGGCGCGUAGGCGGACAGUUUAGUCAGAGGUGAAAGCCCAGGGCUCAACCUUGGAAUUGCCUUUGAUACUGGCUGUCUUGAGUUCGGGAGAGGUGAGUGGAAUGCCGAGUGUAGAGGUGAAAUUCGUAGAUAUUCGGCGGAACACCAGUGGCGAAGGCGACUCACUGGCCCGAUACUGACGCUGAGGCG